GAUGAACGCUGGCGGCGUGCCUAAUACAUGCAAGUCGAGCGAACAGACGAGGAGCUUGCUCCUCUGACGUUAGCGGCGGACGGGCGAGUAACACGUGGAUAACCUACCUAUAAGACUGGGAUAACUUCGGGAAACCGGGGCUAAUACCGGAUAAUAUAUUGAACCGCAUGGUUCAAUAGUGAAAGACGGUUUUGCUGUCACUUAUAGAUGGAUCCGCGCCGCAUUAGCUAGUUGGUAAGGUAACGGCUUACCAAGGCAACGAUGCGUAGCCGACCUGAGAGGGUGAUCGGCCACACUGGAACUGAGACACGGUCCAGACUCCUACGGGAGGCAGCAGUAGGGAAUCUUCCGCAAUGGGCGAAAGCUUGACGGAGCAACGCCGCGUGAGUGAUGAAGGUCUUCGGAUCGUAAAACUCUGUUAUUAGGGAAGAACAAAUGUGUAAGUAACUAUGCACGUCUUGACGGUACCUAAUCAGAAAGCCACGGCUAACUACGUG
rnacentral:rRNA from 1 species